CCAAUAGCGUAUAUUAAAGUUGUUGUGGUUAAAAAGCUCGUAGUUGAACCUUGGGCCUGGCUGGCCGGUCCGCCUCACCGCGUGUACUGGUCCGGCCGGGCCUUUCCCUCUGUGGAACCCCAUGCCCUUCACUGGGUGUGGCGGGGAAACAGGACGUUUACUUUGAAAAAAUUAGAGUGCUCCAGGCAGGCCUUUGCUCGAAUACAUUAGCAUGGAAUAAUAAAAUAGGACGUGCGGUUCUAUUUUGUUGGUUUCUAGGACCGCCGUAAUGAUUAAUAGGGACAGUCGGGGGCAUCAGUAUUCCAUAGUCAGAGGUGAAAUUCUUGGACCUAUGGAAGACUAACUACUGCGAAAGCAUUUGCCAAGGAUGUUUUCAUUAAUCAGGAACGAAAGUUAGGGGAUCGAAGACGAUCAGAUACCGUCGUAGUCUUAACCAUAAACUAUGCCGACUAGGGAUCGGACGAUGUUAUAUUUUGACUCGUUCGGCACCUUACG
rnacentral:rRNA from 1 species